rnacentral:rRNA from 1 species
GACGAACGCUGGCGGCGUGCUUAACACAUGCAAGUCGAACGGAAAGGCCCUGCUUUUGUGGGGUGCUCGAGUGGCGAACGGGUGAGUAACACGUGAGUAACCUGCCCUUGACUUUGGGAUAACUUCAGGAAACUUGGGCUAAUACCGGAUAGGAGCUUCUGCUGGAUGGUGGGGGCUGGAAAGUUUCGGCGGUUGGGGAUGGACUCGCGGCUUAUCAGCUUGUUGGUGGGGUAGUGGCUUACCAAGGCUUUGACGGGUAGCCGGCCUGAGAGGGUGACCGGCCACAUUGGGACUGAGAUACGGCCCAGACUCCUACGGGAGGCAGCAGUGGGGAAUAUUGCACAAUGGGCGGAAGCCUGAUGCAGCAACGCCGCGUGCGGGAUGACGGCCUUCGGGUUGUAAACCGCUUUCGCCUGUGACGAAGCGUGAGUGACGGUAAUGGGUAAAGAAGCACCGGCUAACUACGUG